UACGUAGGGUGCAAGCGUUAAUCGGAAUUACUGGGCGUAAAGCGUGCGCAGGCGGUUCGUUAAGACAGAUGUGAAAUCCCCGGGCUUGACCUGGGAACUGCAUUUGUGACUGGCGGACUGGAGUAUGGCAGAGGGGGGUAGAAUUCCACGUGUAGCAGUGAAAUGCGUAGAGAUGUGGAGGAAUACCGAUGGCGAAGGCAGCCCCCUGGGCCAAUACUGACGCUCAUGCACGAAAGCGUGGGGAGCAAACAGG
rnacentral:rRNA from 1 species